AUUGAACGCUGGCGGCAGGCCUAACACAUGCAAGUCGAACGAGUGGCGGACGGGUGAGCAAUGUCUGGGAAACUGCCUGAUGGAGGGGGAUAACUAACGGAAACGGUAGCUAAUACCGCAUACCAUCAGAUGUGCCCAGAUGGGAUUAGCUAGUUGGUGGGGUAACGGCACACCAAGGCGACGAUCCCUAGCUGGUCUGAGAGGAUGAACAGCCACACUGGAACUGAGACACGGUCCAGACUCCUACGGAAGGCAGCAGUGGGGAAUAUUGCACAAUGGGCGCAAGCCUGAUGCAGCCAUGCCGCGUGUGUGAAGAAGGCCUUCGGGUUGUAAAGUACUUUCAGCGGGGAGGCGUUACCCGCAGAAGAAGCACCGGCUAACUCCGUGCCAGCCGCCGCGGUAAUUC
rnacentral:rRNA from 1 species